rnacentral:tRNA from 1 species
AGAAUUAUAAAUUAAUUAAAAAGCUAAUUGUCAUCUAAGCUUAUAGAAGCUAAACUCUUCUUAAUUCUU